GGGCCCGCACAAGCGGUGGAGCAUGUGGUUUAAUUCGACGCAACGCGAAGAACCUUACCUGGUCUUGACAUCCUGCGAACUUUCUAGAGAUAGAUUGGUGCCUUCGGGAACGCAGUGACAGGUGCUGCAUGGCUGUCGUCAGCUCGUGUCGUGAGAUGUUGGGUUAAGUCCGGCAACGAGCGCAACCCACAUCUUUAGUUGCCAGCAGUUCGGCUGGGCACUCUAGAGAAACUGCCCGUGAUAAGCGGGAGGAAGGUGGGGACGACGUCAAGUCAUCAUGGCCCUUACGGCCUGGGCUACACACGUGCUACAAUGGCUAGGACAGACGGCCGCAAACCCGUGAGGGGGAGCCAAUCCGACAAACCUAGUCGUAGUCCGGAUCGGAGUCUGCAACUCGACUCCGUG
rnacentral:rRNA from 1 species